rnacentral:rRNA from 1 species
CAAUAGCGUAUAUUAAAGUUGUUGCAGUUAAAAGCUCGUAGUUGGAUUUCUGGUCGGAGCGACCGGUCGGCGUCCUUUGUGGCGUGUGCACUGUUGUCGGCUCCGUCCAUCCUAGUGGGAAGGCGCGUGGGCAUUCAUUUGUUCGCGCGUGGCCCCGCUACGUUUACUGUGAAAAAUUAGAGUGUUUAAAGCAGGCGUUCGCUGUGAAUACAUUAGCAUGGAAUAAUGAGAUAGGACUUUGGUACUAUUUUGUUGGUUUGCGCACCAAGGUAAUGAUUAAUAGGGAUAGUUGGGGGUAUUCAUAUUCAAUUGUCAGAGGUGAAAUUCUUGGAUUUAUGGAAGAUGAACUUAUGCGAAAGCAUUUACCAAGGAUGUUUUCAUUAAUCAAGAACGAAAGUUAGGGGAUCGAAGACGAUCAGAUACCAU